CUGGGGACCACAGAGAGCUCCUCUCGGGCCCUGAGCUUCCUGUGUCUCCCCUAG
rnacentral:pre_miRNA from 1 species